CGCUGGUGGCGUGCUUAACACAUGCAAGUCGAACGGAAAGGCCCUGCUUUUGUGGGGUGCUCGAGUGGCGAACGGGUGAGUAACACGUGAGUAACCUGCCCUUGACUUUGGGAUAACUUCAGGAAACUGGGGCUAAUACCGGAUAGGAGCUCCUGCUGCAUGGUGGGGGUUGGAAAGUUUCGGCGGUUGGGGAUGGACUCGCGGCUUAUCAGCUUGUUGGUGGGGUAGUGGCUUACCAAGGCUUUGACGGGUAGCCGGCCUGAGAGGGUGACCGGCCACAUUGGGACUGAGAUACGGCCCAGACUCCUACGGGAGGCAGCAGUGGGGAAUAUUGCACAAUGGGCGGAAGCCUGAUGCAGCAACGCCGCGUGCGGGAUGACGGCCUUCGGGUUGUAAACCGCUUUCGCCUGUGACGAAGCGUGAGUGACGGUAAUGGGUAAAGAAGCACCGGCUAACUACGUGCCAGCAGCCGCGGUGAUACGUAGGGUGCGAGCGUUGUCCGGAUUUAUUGGGCGUAAAGGGCUCGUAGGUGGUUGAUCGCGUCGGAAGUGUAAUCUUGGGGCUUAACCCUGAGCGUGCUUUCGAUACGGGUUGACUUGAGGAAGGUAGGGGAGAAUGGAAUUCCUGGUGGAGCGGUGGAAUGCGCAGAUAUCAGGAGGAACACCAGUGGCGAAGGCGGUUCUCUGGGCCUUUCCUGACGCUGAGGAGCGAAAGCGUGGGGAGCGAACAGGCUUAGAUACCCUGGUAGUCCACGCUGUAAACGGUGGGUACUAGGUGUGGGGUCCAUUCCACGGGUUCCGUGCCGUAGCUAACGCUUUAAGUACCCCGCCUGGGGAGUACGGCCGCAAGGCUAAAACUCAAAGGAAUUGACGGGGCCCCGCACAAGCGGCGGAGCAUGCGGAUUAAUUCGAUGCAACGCGUAGAACCUUACCUGGGUUUGACAUGGAUCGGGAGUGCUCAGAGAUGGGUGUGCCUCUUUUGGGGUCGGUUCACAGGUGGUGCAUGGCUGUCGUCAGCUCGUGUCGUGAGAUGUUGGGUUAAGUCCCGCAACGAGCGCAACCCUUGUUCACUGUUGCCAGCACGUUAUGGUGGGGACUCAGUGGAGACCGCCGGGGUCAACUCGGAGGAAGGUGGGGAUGACGUCAAGUCAUCAUGCCCCUUAUGUCCAGGGCUUCACGCAUGCUACAAUGGCUGGUACAGAGAGUGGCGAGCCUGUGAGGGUGAGCGAAUCUCGGAAAGCCGGUCUCAGUUCGGAUUGGGGUCUGCAACUCGACCUCAUGAAGUCGGAGUCGCUAGUAAUCGCAGAUCAGCAACGCUGCGGUGAAUACGUUCCCGGGGCUUGUACACACCGCCCGUCAAGUCAUGAAAGUUGGUAACACCCGAAGCCGGUGGCCUAACCGUUGUGGGGGAGCCGUCGAAGGUGGGACUGGUGAUUAGGACU
rnacentral:rRNA from 1 species